CCUACGGGUGGCAGCAGUGAGGAAUAUUGGUCAAUGGGCGGGAGCCUGAACCAGCCAAGCCGCGUGAGGGAAGAAGGUACAGCGUAUCGUAAACCUCUUUUGUCAGGGAACAAAGGCGGGGACUAGUCCCCGUAUGAGGGUACCUGAAGAAAAAGCAUCGGCUAACUCCGUGCCAGCAGCCGCGGUAAUACGGAGGAUGCGAGCGUUAUCCGGAUUUAUUGGGUUUAAAGGGUGCGCAGGCGGCCGGUUAAGUCAGCGGUAAAAGCCCGGGGCUCAACCCCGGCGAGCCGUUGAAACUGGCGGGCUUGAGUUAGAGAGAAGUACGCGGAAUGCGCGGUGUAGCGGUGAAAUGCUUAGAUAUCGCGCAGAACCCCGAUUGCGAAGGCAGCGUACCGGCGCCACACUGACGCUGAGGCACGAAAGCGUGGGUAUCGAACAGGAUUAGAUACCCGUGUAGUC
rnacentral:rRNA from 1 species